rnacentral:rRNA from 1 species
CCUACGGGAGGCAGCAGUGAGGAAUAUUGGUCAAUGGGCGUAAGCCUGAACCAGCCAAGUCGCGUGAGGGAUGAAGGUUCUAUGGAUCGUAAACCUCUUUUAUACGGGAAUAAAGUGUGGGACGUGUCCUGUUUUGUAUGUACCUUAUGAAUACGGAUCGGCUAACUCCGUGCCAGCAGCCGCGGUAAUACGGAGGAUCCGAGCGUUAUCCGGAUUUAUUGGGUUUAAAGGGUGCGUAGGCGGCCUUUUAAGUCAGCGGUGAAAGUCUGUGGCUCAACCAUAGAAUUGACGUUGAAACUGGGAGGAUUGAGUAUGUUAGAGGCAGGGGGAAGGCGUGGUGUAGCGGUGAAAUGCUUAGAUAUCACGCAGAACCCCGAGUGCGAAGGCAGCCUGCCAAGCCAUGACUGACGCUGAUGCACGAAAGCGUGGGGAUCAAACAGGAUUAGAUACCCUGGUAGUC